GCGGGUGUAGUUCAAUGGCAGAACUCCAGGUUCCCAACCUGAUAACGAGGGUUCGAUUCCCUUCACCCGCUCCA
rnacentral:tRNA from 1 species